AUCAGAGCCUCGGGUCUUUCCAUGAUGAGCAAAACCAGCUGGAGACUCUGCACUGUGUGUUUGUCCUCCUGCAGCCUAGACGCUCACAGCCCCCCGUUGGAUUUGAGGCCCCUGGAGGGGAGAAGAAGGAAGGCCCUUGGGACCUGAGGCCACGGAGAUCCUUUGAGUCGUGGUGACAGCUCUCCUUUUCCCAUGGACAAAAGGAGCAUGGAUUUGAUGCCACAGAACCUGCUGGGCGGGCAGGCAGGGAAAGCCUGCAAGACUGGUGUCGGUUUGCAAAGGGAUGCGGAUGACAUUCUUCCGGGUGACGAUGUGAAGCCGCAAGAUAGUGACCUGUCAGCUGAAGAAAGAAUAUUUUUGGAAGAGUUUCCCAACCUGAAAGGGGAGCUGGAAGUGGACAUCUGGAAGCUCCAGGCCCUUGCAGACCGAAUUGACACAACAAACAAAACACUCACCAAGACCAGUGUGGUGGCCAGUUCCAUCACCGUGGUCUCCGGAGCCAUGAGCAUACUGGGCUUAGUCCUUGCUCCGGCGACAGCAGGGGGAAGCCUGGUGCUCUCCGCUGCAGGUAGAGUUUUGGGGACAGCAGGGGAGGUCAUCAGUAUCUUGACCAACGUUUUGGAACGUUUUCACAGUCAAGAAGCCCAAGCUCAGGUGGGUAGCCUAAUGCCCUCCAGUGGCCAAAAGGCCAGGCAAGCUGGGGUAGACUACAUCAUGGCCGCUGGAAAGGUGAUUCAGAAUUGUAGAAACGCCAUCGAGGGUGUUCAGAAGAGCAUCCGUGCCUUUCAGAUCACCAAGUCUCACCCACGCCUGGCCACUGCUGCCAAGCGCCUCCUGACCACUGGCCAGGUCUCAGCCCAAAGGAGCAGGCAGGUGCAAAGGGCCUUUGAAGGUACCACGCUGGUGAUGAAAACCAAGGCUCGCUUGCUGGGCAGUGCGAUGGCUGGCUUUUCCCUCAGCGUGGACUUGGCCUCCCUCCUUAAGGACUGGAAGCAGCUGAAGGAGGGAGCCAGAACAGAGCUUGCAGCAGAGCUAAGGGCCCGGGCUCGGGAGCUGGAAAGGCAGCUGACACAACUCACCCAGCGCUACGAGAUCCUGCAGCAGACGGUGAGAACCUCUUGCAAGAAAAAAAGCCUAUGAGCUCCUCUUCAGAGGGAACCAUGGGGACCGUGCCUCUGCCACCAGUCAGGCGUGGGGAAGCCGGAUCCCAGCUGCUAUUUUAGAAGUCGUGCAUGGACAUUCAGCACAACUUUUUAAAAUUCAGGAAAGUAAUAAGGGCAGAAAAUAGUGCCCCAGUCAAGGCUGACAGCUGCUGGUUAUUUUGGUGGAGAAUUCUCUUCUGUGCUUUUCUUGCUUUGGGCGUUACUGCCUGCUGGAGACCCUUCUUCAAGGUUGCAUUGUAAAAUAGAUUUUUCCUAUAACCCACUGAGUUUUCUUUCUUUUUCAUUCUCAAUUCCCUCAUUUGUCUGCAGAGCUAUAACCUUCCAUUUUGCUGUUUUCACUUAGGAAUAUUUUCUACCAUUCCAUGUUUCCCUGUGUUUUUAUAGACAUUGUUUUUUUUUGUUGUUGUUGUUACAAACUAUUUUUUGACUGUACCUAUAACUUUUUAAUUAGAUAUAUAUUGGUCAUUACUGUUAAGUGGCCAAAACCAAUUUAAACAGACUUAUACAAAAGAAGAGAAUUUAUUGGCUCAUGAACUUUAAAACCUUAAGGGAACAGUGAGCUUCAGGUGUGAGUGUGUGGACCCAGGGGAUUAAAGUGAUGUCAUCAGGCAUCUGUCUUUCCAUUUCUCAGACAGACUUCUGUCAGGUUCAGCCACCGUGGCCUCAUCACCCCCAGAUGUGCCUGCUGCCGGCUGGGGGCUCCCACGUGGAAAAGGGCAGGGCAAAGUCUAGGGACGCACUCUGAUUGAUCAGUGCUGGUGCUGGUUUCUAAGAUGGGCAAUGGGAACUCUCUUAUGAUCCAGGGUUUUUAAAUAGUUGUCUCCCAGGCUGUGGUUCCUGCUUUUGUUGCUGUCAUUCCCUUUUUAUAAAUUUUUCAUGAGCCUAACAAUAAGUAAAUAGCUUUCACCCCCUUUUAAUAUUGUUCUGUAAGUGUGCAUGAGCAUUGUUCAAGUUCUG